CUGUGCUGUGUUUUUUCCUCCUACUCAGGGUGUGACCGGCAGGUGCUGCGGCGCAGCUGUUGCUCAUCAGCAAGCGUGGAAAUGUUUCUACCGGAGUUUCUGUGGGCUUAACGUCUCCUGCCGAGUUCAGAUGAAUGUGGAAAUUCAAGCCUCAAAAAACCUUGGCCGUAAGUCUCCUUUCUGCCUCCCUCCUGGAUUCAGGUCUUUGGAAAUAACUUCUUAUCAAGCUUCUGAGAACCCUCCACCUGCCUGUCCACCCUCCCACGAAUCAUCGUUUUCCCCAUGGGGCCCACGAAUGGAGUAAAGCACAAAGUCAGAAGAACGAGGAAGUACUUCUUCCUGCUGCUGCACCCUCCUGUCAAAGUCAACCAUCGUGGUAAAGACUUAUUCCUCCCUGACCUGGCUAAGGGCUUAUUUGCUGUAAGCUUGACCCUGACGGACUCGGUAUUAUUGAUCCACCUUUCCUCAAACGCUCUCUAAGACUCUUUUCUUUUUUUUUUUCUUCUUCUCCCUGAGUGAGAUCCCAAUCCUGUCCGCUGAUCCAGUCCGGAUUCCAGAACGAACUUACGUUUGUGAAUAAACUGUUUAAACUUUG